CAGGGCAUGGCUAAACAUAGCUAAAGCAUCUCACUUACACCGAGAAGAUAUCCGUG
rnacentral:rRNA from 1 species